AGAGUUUGAUCCUGGCUCAGAUUGAACGCUGGCGGCAUGCUUUACACAUGCAAGUCGAACGGUAACAGGGUGCUUGCACCGCUGACGAGUGGCGAACGGGUGAGUAAUGCAUCGGAAUGUACCGUGUAAUGGGGGAUAGCUCGGCGAAAGCCGGAUUAAUACCGCAUACGCCCUGAGGGGGAAAGUGGGGGACCGAAAGGCCUCACGUUAUACGAGCAGCCGAUGUCUGAUUAGCUAGUUGGUGAGGUAAGAGCUCACCAAGGCGUCGAUCAGUAGCGGGUCUGAGAGGAUGAUCCGCCACACUGGGACUGAGACACGGCCCAGACUCCUACGGGAGGCAGCAGUGGGGAAUUUUGGACAAUGGGCGCAAGCCUGAUCCAGCCAUGCCGCGUGUCUGAAGAAGGCCUUCGGGUUGUAAAGGACUUUUGUCCGGGAGCAAAUCCUAGUGGUUAAUAACCGCUGGGUCUGAGAGUA
rnacentral:rRNA from 1 species